rnacentral:ncRNA from 1 species
CGGCGGGACACUCCCCCCCAACGGGGAGCGCCCAUCUGCAAGGAUGG